AUGCCGGCCGCGCAGCACAUCGAACGAGACCAAGACCGAGUUACUUCAAGCUCAGCUGGAGCUCUACCACCACGGCCUCGCCUUCGUCAAGUCACUGGCGCUCAAGGCCGCCACGGACCUGCGCAUCCCCGACGCCAUCCACCGCCGCGGCGGCGCCGCCACCUUGUCCGAGCUGGCCUCCGACACCGGGAUCCACCCCACGAAGCGCUCCAACCUCCGGCGGGUCAUGCGGGUGCUCACCACCACCGGGGUAUUCUCCAUUGUCCAAGGCAAAGGCAGCAACGACCACGCCGGUGA
rnacentral:rRNA from 1 species